rnacentral:rRNA from 1 species
AGUGAACGCUGGCGGUAGGCCUAACACAUGCAAGUCGAACGGCAGCACAGUAAGAGCUUGCUCUUACGGGUGGCGAGUGGCGGACGGGUGAGGAAUACAUCGGAAUCUACUUUUUCGUGGGGGAUAACGUAGGGAAACUUACGCUAAUACCGCAUACGACCUACGGGUGAAAGCAGGGGAUCUUCGGACUUUGCGCGAUUGAAUGAGCCGAUGUCGGAUUAGCUAGUUGGCGGGGUAAAGGCCCACCAAGGCGACGAUCCGUAGCUGGUCUGAGAGAAUGAUCAGCCACACUGGAACUGAGACACGGUCCAGACUCCUACGGGAGGCAGCAGUGGGGAAUAUUGGACAAUGGGCGCAAGCCUGAUCCAGCCAUACCGCGUGGGUGAAGAAGGCCUUCGGGUUGUAAAGCCCUUUUGUUGGGAAAGAAAAGCAGCAGGUUAAUACCCCGCUGUUCUGACGGUACCCAAAGAAUAAGCACCGGCUAACUUCGUG